CCUACGGGUGGCUGCAGUGAGGAAUAUUGGUCAAUGGUCGCUAGCCUGAACCAGCCAAGUAGCGUGAAGGAUGACUGCCCUAUGGGUUGUAAACUUCUUUUAUAUGGGAAUAAAGUGCAGUAUGUAUACUGCUUUGCAUGUACCUUAUGAGUAAGGAUCGGCUAACUCCGUGCCAGCAGCCGCGGUAAUACGGUGGAUUGGAGCGUUAUCCGGGUUGAUUGGGUUAAAAGGAAGAGUAGGCGGGUUGUUACGUCAGUUGUGAAAGUUUGCGGCUCAACCGUAAAAUUGCAGUUGAUACUGGCAUCCUUGAGUACAGUAGAGGUAGGCGGAAUUCGUGGUGUAGCGGUGAAAUGCUUAGACAUCACGAAGAACUCCGAUUGCGAAGGCAGCCUGGACUGUAACUGACGCUGAUGCUCGAAAGUGUGGGUAUCAAACAGGAUUAGAUACCCGUGUAGUC
rnacentral:rRNA from 1 species